rnacentral:rRNA from 1 species
AUACGUAGGGGGCAAGCGUUAUCCGGAUUCAUUGGGCGUAAAGAGCGCGUAGGCGGCUUGUUAAGCGAGAUGUGAAAACCGGGGGCUUAACCCGCGGCCUGCAUCUCGAACUGGCAGGCUUGAGUCUGGUAGAGGAGUGUGGAAUUCCCAGUGUAGCGGUGAAAUGCGCAGAUAUUGGGAGGAACACCAGUGGCGAAGGCGGCACUCUGGGCCACGACUGACGCUGAGGCGCGAAAGCUAGGGGAGCAAACAGGAUUAGAUACCCUGGUAGUCCUAGCCGUAAACGAUGGGCACUAGGUGUGGGGGGUAUGACUCCCUCCGUGCCGCAGCUAACGCAUUAAGUGCCCCGCCUGGGGAGUACGGCCGCAAGGCUAAA